rnacentral:rRNA from 1 species
GUCCACGCCGUAAACGGUGGGUACUAGGUGUGGGUUUCCUUCCACGGGAUCCGUGCCGUAGCUAACGCAUUAAGUACCCGCCUGGGGAGUACGGCCGCAAGGCUAAACUCAAAGGAAUUGACGGGGCCCGCACAAGCGGCGGAGCAUGUGGAUUAAUUCGAUGCAACGCGAAGAACCUUACCUGGGUUUGACAUACACCGGAAACCUGCAGAGAUGUAGGCCCCCUUGUGGUCGGUGUACAGGUGGUGCAUGGCUGUCGU